rnacentral:rRNA from 1 species
CCUAUGGGAGGCAGCAGUGGGGAAUUUUGGACAAUGGGCGCAAGCCUGAUCCAGCCAUGCCGCGUGCAGGAUGAAGGCCUUCGGGUUGUAAACUGCUUUUGUACGGAACGAAAAGACUCUGGUUAAUACCUGGGGUCCAUGACGGUACCGUAAGAAUAAGCACCGGCUAACUACGUGCCAGCAGCCGCGGUAAUACGUAGGGUGCGAGCGUUAAUCGGAAUUACUGGGCGUAAAGCGUGCGCAGGCGGUUAUAUAAGACAGAUGUGAAAUCCCCGGGCUCAACCUGGGAACUGCAUUUGUGACUGUAUAGCUAGAGUACGGCAGAGGGGGGAUGGAAUUCCGCGUGUAGCAGUGAAAUGCGUAGAUAUGCGGAGGAACACCGAUGGCGAAGGCAAUCCCCCUGGGCCUGUACUGACGCUCAUGCACGAAAGCGUGGGGAGCAAACAGGAUUAGAUACCCUGGUAGUCCACGCCCUAAACGAUGUCAACUGGUUGUUGGGUCUUCACUGACUCAGUAACGAAGCUAACGCGUGAAGUUGACCGCCUGGGGAGUACGGCGCAAGGUUGAAACGUCAAAGAGUAGUGGACGNGUAGAGUACGCGACGACGGACACGACGGGGAGGGUUAGG